UACGUAGGGAGCAAGCGUUGUCCGGAUUUACUGGGUGUAAAGGGUGCGUAGGUGGUUCUGUGGGUCAGGCGUGAAAUUUGCAGGCUUAACUUGUAACUGCGCUUGAAACUAUAGAGCUUGAGUGAAGUAGGGGCAGAUGGAAUUCCCGGUGUAGCGGUGAAAUGCGUAGAGAUCGGGAGGAACACCGGUGGCGAAGGCGAUCUGCUGGGCUUUAACUGACACUGAGGCACGAAAGCGUGGGUAGCAAACA
rnacentral:rRNA from 1 species